GUCGAUAUGGCCGAGCGGUUAAGGUGCUUGAUUGCUACUCAAGUGGGAAUUUCCCGCGCAGGUUCGAAUCCUGCUGUCGACG
rnacentral:tRNA from 1 species